AUGGACAUGCUAGAGAGCUUCGGCGACGCCACGGGCCUGAAGAUAAACAAUGCCAAAUCCAUGGCGACUCUGAUUUGCUGCAACGCCAUCGACCUCAACACGGUGCUGCAGUCUUUUGGGGGCCCGACCACGCAAUUCCCAAUCAGAUACUUAGGGCUCCCCCUCACGAUUGGCCGGCUUCGACUGGUUCAUCUUUAGUUCAUCCUAGAUCGAAUUAGGGCUAGGCUAGCUGGCUGGAAAGGAAAAAUGCUCUCCAUCGCCGGGCGCAGGGUACUCGGCAGAUGCGUCCUCACCGCCAUGCCAACGUUCGCGCUUACGGCGCUUCAAGUCCCCGCGAAACUGCUGAAAGAAAUCGACAAGUGUAGACGUCGCUUCCUCUGGGGUCGCGAUCAGGAACUCUCUGGUGGCAGCUGCAAAGUAAAUUGGGACGGGUCUGCUCCUCGAUCGAGCACGGAGGGCUUGGCAUCCUAG
rnacentral:rRNA from 1 species